UUUUUUGGAGGGGCCAGUCUGGUGCCAGCAGCCGCGGUAAUUCCAGCUCCAAUAGCGUAUAUUAAAGUUGUUGCAGUUAAAAAGCUCGUAGUUGAAUUUCGGGGUUCUACCGUUGGUCGGGCAAUUGUCUGUACUGGCGUGUGGAAUUUCUACCUUCUGGGGAACCAUCAUGUUAUUAAUUUAGCGUGGUGGGAAACCAGGACCUUUACCUUGAAAAAAUUAGAGUGUUCAAAGCAGGCUUACGUCUGAAUACAUUAGCAUGGAAUAAUAAAAUAGGACGGUGGUCCUGUUUUGUUGGUUUCUGAAUCACCGUAAUGAUUAAUAGGGAUAGUUGGGGGCAUUAGUAUUCAAUUGUCAGAGGUGAAAUUCUUGGAUUUAUUGAAGACUAACUUCUGCGAAAGCAUUUGCCAAGGAUGUUUUCAUUAAUCAAGAACGAAAGUUAGGGGAUCGAAGACGAUCAGAUACCGUCGUAGUCUUAACCAUAAACUAUGCCGACUAGGAUCGGACGAGUUAAUAC
rnacentral:rRNA from 1 species